CACGUAGUUAGCCGUGGCUUUCUGAUUAGGUACCGUCAAGAUGUGCACAGUUACUUACACAUUUGUUCUUCCCUAAUAACAGGGUUUUACGAGCCGAAACCCUUCAUCACUCACGCGGCGUUGCUCCGUCAGGCUUUCGCCCAUUGCGGAAGAUUCCCUACUGCUGCCUCCCGUAGGAGUCUGGACCGUGUCUCAGUUCCAGUGUGGCCGAUCACCCUCUCAGGUCGGCUACGUAUCGUCGCCUUGGUAAGCCGUUACCUUACCAACUAGCUAAUACGGCGCGGGUCCAUCUAUAAGUGAUAGCAAAACCAUCUUUCACUUUAGAACCAUGCGGUUCUAAAUGUUAUCCGGUAUUAGCUCCGGUUUCCCGAAGUUAUCCCAGUCUUAUAGGUAGGUUACCCACGUGUUACUCACCCGUCCGCCGCUAACUUCAAAGGAGCAAGCUCCUUAUCUGUUCGCUCGACUUGCAUGUAUUAGGCACGCCGCCAGCGUUCAUCCUGAGCCAGGAUCAAACUCU
rnacentral:rRNA from 1 species